UAAUAUAAAGGAGUCCUAUGAAC
rnacentral:piRNA from 1 species